CUAACAUCAAAUAAAUUUAUUAAAAGAAGACACUGUCCACGCCAUGGCCGGAAAAUUGCCAAAAUCGUAGUCACCAUCAGUUUAUAAAAAUUAGAUGGAUAACGAUAAUGGGAGACCUAACCAAGAAGCCAAUAUGGAUACUAAGGAUUGAAGAAAUGGACUGCCGCAAGAGUCACGCGAAAGAUUUUUCAACCAGAUAAUGGACUCGUUAAAAAAACAUUAUUCUGGUUAUGGUGAAGAGGGAUUGCAUAUACUUCAUUUAUAUGCUAAAAGGUUUGAAGAGAAGAUGUUUACUACUUCAACAAGUUGGCCUGAUUAUUUAUUGAAAAUAUCUUCGAAAAUACGUGAGAUGGAGACUAAAUCCCAAGGCACCAGGGCCAACCCACCAAAUCAAGGUGGUUAACUAGGAGUUGUUUCUAGUUGAAAUUAAGUUAUUGGAACUGUAUUGUAUUGUGUGAUUUUUUUCACCCAAAUACACAUGGACGCAAAACUUCCU